CUACUGACCUAGUCAAUUAAUUUUCCAAUAAUUUAUUUUUGUUCUUUCAGAGAGUAGGAGAAGCCUGACAGGCACUUUGGUUCUAUUUACUAAUACGGGUGUGUGUGUGUGUGUGUGUGUGUGUGUGUGUGUGUGUGUGUGUGUGUGUGUUCAGGGUCGGCAGCGCUGGAUGAAUCGGGGGUACAGGCAGACGUCUCUGAUGUGAUGUCUGUUCAGCAGCCAAGUGAGGAAACGCUCCAGACCCAGACCGUAACCGCCGUGAGGACAUGUGCCGUACUUCCUCUGAAACACAAACACACAGCAGCCUGUUAAU